rnacentral:misc_RNA from 1 species
AAGUCGUAACAAGGUCUCCGUUGGUGAACCAGCGGAGGGAUCAUUACAGAGUUACAAAACUCCCAAACCCAUGUGAACUUACCUAUGUUGCCUCGGCGGAGCCUACCCGGUACCUACCCUGUAACGCUCCGCCGGUGGACCUUUAAACUCUUGUUAUUUUAUAGUAAUCUGAGCGUCUUAUUUUAAUAAGUCAAAACUUUCAACAACGGAUCUCUUGGUUCUG